UUUUAGAGUUUGGAUCAGGCUCAGGAUGAACGCUGGCGGCGUGCCUAAUACAUGCAAGUCGAGCGAACUGAUUAGAAGCUUGCUUCUAUGACGUUAGCGGCGGACGGGUGAGUAACACGUGGGCAACCUGCCUGUAAGACUGGGAUAACUUCGGGAAACCGAAGCUAAUACCGGAUAGGAUCUUCUCCUUCAUGGGAGAUGAUUGAAAGAUGGUUUCGGCUAUCACUUACAGAUGGGCCCGCGGUGCAUUAGCUAGUUGGUGAGGUAACGGCUCACCAAGGCAACGAUGCAUAGCCGACCUGAGAGGGUGAUCGGCCACACUGGGACUGAGACACGGCCCAGACUCCUACGGGAGGCAGCAGUAGGGAAUCUUCCGCAAUGGACGAAAGUCUGACGGAGCAACGCCGCGUGAGUGAUGAAGGCUUUCGGGUCGUAAAACUCUGUUGUUAGGGAAGAACAAGUACGAGAGUAACUGCUCGUACCUUGACGGUACCUAACCAGAAAGCCACGGCUAACUACGUGCCAGCAGCCGCGGUAAUACGUAGGUGGCAAGCGUUAUCCGGAAUUAUUGGGCGUAAAGCGCGCGCAGGCGGUUUCUUAAGUCUGAUGUGAAAGCCCACGGCUCAACCGUGGAGGGUCAUUGGAAACUGGGGAACUUGAGUGCAGAAGAGAAAAGCGGAAUUCCACGUGUAGCGGUGAAAUGCGUAGAGAUGUGGAGGAACACCAGUGGCGAAGGCGGCUUUUUGGUCUGUAACUGACGCUGAGGCGCCGAAAAGGGGG
rnacentral:rRNA from 2 species